rnacentral:rRNA from 1 species
AUUGAACGCUGGCGGCAGGCCUAACACAUGCAAGUCGAACGAGUGGCGGACGGGUGAGUAAUGUCUGGUAAACUGCCUGAUGGGGGGGGAUAACUACUGGAAACGGUCGCUAAUACCGCACACCAUCAGAUGUGCCCAGAUGGGAUUAGCUAGUCGGUGGGGUAAAGGCUCACCUAGGCGACGAUCCCUAGCUGGUCUGAGAGGAUGACCAGCCACACUGGAACUGAGACACGGUCCAGACUCCUACGGGAGGCAGCAGUGGGGAAGAUUGCACAAUGGGCGCAAGCCUGAGGCAGCCAGGCCGCGUGUAUGAAGAAGGCCUGCGGGUUGUAAAGUACUGUCAGCGGGGAGGCGUUACCCGCAGAAGAAGCACCGGCUAACUCCGUGCCAGCAGCCGCGGUAAUAC